CCAAGGCGACGAUCAGUAGCUGGUCUGAGAGGAUGAUCAGCCACACUGGGACUGAGACACGGCCCAGACUCCUACGGGAGGCAGCAGUGGGGAAUAUUGGACAAUGGGCGCAAGCCUGAUCCAGCCAUGCCGCGUGAGUGAUGAAGGCCUUAGGGUUGUAAAGCUCUUUUAUCCGGGACGAUAAUGACGGUACCGGAGGAAUAAGCCCCGGCUAACUUCGUGCCAGCAGCCGCGGUAAUACGAAGGGGGCUAGCGUUGCUCGGAAUCACUGGGCGUAAAGGGCGCGUAGGCGGCGUUUUAAGUCGGGGGUGAAAGCCUGUGGCUCAACCACAGAAUGGCCUUCGAUACUGGGACGCUUGAGUCUGGUAGAGGUUGGUGGAACUGCGAGUGUAGAGGUGAAAUUCGUAGAUAUUCGCAAGAACACCGGUGGCGAAGGCGGCCAACUGGACCGGCACCUGACGCUGAGGCGCGAAAGCGUGGGGAGCAAACCAGGAUUAGAUACCCUGGUAGUCCACGCUGUAAACGAUGAAUGCUAGCUGUUGGGAUGCAUG
rnacentral:rRNA from 1 species